GAGUACCGCCCAAAAGCCAGGCACCCUAAUGUGGGAGUGCUAGGCACCUGUUUUGAUGUGUAAGAGCCUGGCACGCCCUCAACGUGAGCUCAUGGUUGGUUAACGAGCACCCGUUAUUCUUCUUAGAAAUUUGACUCGUAUGGCACGGCGAUGGCAUUUUAGCCUUGACUAGUGGUCUGGCAAGAAGGUUCACGUUUUUUGGAAGAGAAAGUGUUUAAAGCAUUGUUCUUUGCAGUAGUCUCUCGUGCUAUGCCAGAGAAAUGAUUCUUUGGAAAGUUGCUAUCAUGGUAAUGUUUUUCACUUUAUUUACAGGUUCUAUCCGAGCUGGACACAUUAAACAAGGUGUUGAGUAUAGACGAGAUUCGUCAGGUGAAAGCCCCCUCACUGAAAAUGAAGUUAAUCAAAGUGGUUCUUCGUCCGGAAAGCUAAACGGAAUAGAUGAUGAAAAAAUAACAAAAACGAAUAGCGUUAGAGAUGAGGCUGAAGUUACCGAAG